GCCCCUGUAGCUCAGCUGAAUAGAGUGGCCCCCUCCUAAGGGGCAGGUCACAGGUUUGAAUCCUGUCGGGGGCACCA
rnacentral:tRNA from 1 species